rnacentral:rRNA from 1 species
UACGGAGGGUGCAAGCGUUAUCCGGAUUCACUGGGUUUAAAGGGUGCGUAGGCGGGUUGGUAAGUCCGUGGUGAAAUCCCCAAGCUUAACUUGGGAACUGCCGUGGAUACUAUCAAUCUUGAAUAUCGUGGAGGUAAGCGGAAUAUGUCAUGUAGCGGUGAAAUGCUUAGAUAUGACAUAGAACACCGAUUGCGAAGGCAGCUUGCUACACGAUCAUUGACACUGAGGCACGAAAGCGUGGGGAUCAAACAGG